AUUGAACGCUGGCGGCAUGCUUUACACAUGCAAGUCGAACGGCAGCGCGGGGUUCGGCCUGGCGGCGAGUGGCGAACGGGUGAGUAAUGCAUCGGAACGUGCCCAGUAGUGGGGGAUAGCCCGGCGAAAGCCGGAUUAAUACCGCAUACGACCUGAGGGUGAAAGCGGGGGACCGAAAGGCCUCGCGCUAUUGGAGCGGCCGAUGUCGGAUUAGCUAGUUGGUGGGGUAAAGGCUUACCAAGGCGACGAUCCGUAGCUGGUCUGAGAGGACGACCAGCCACACUGGGACUGAGACACGGCCCAGACUCCUACGGGAGGCAGCAGUGGGGAAUUUUGGACAAUGGGGGCAACCCUGAUCCAGCCAUGCCGCGUGCGGGAAGAAGGCCUUCGGGUUGUAAACCGCUUUUGUUCGGGAAGAAAUCCUCUGGGCUAAUACCCCGGGGGGAUGACGGUACCGGAAGAAUAAGCACCGGCUAACUACGUG
rnacentral:rRNA from 1 species